rnacentral:SRP_RNA from 1 species
AAUAAUUGAGCAAUUUGCCCUCGGGCAGCUCCGUAUGGCAUGGUCUGGGUCCUGCGCAAUAGGAUGCCGUGAACCUUGUCAGGUCCGGAAGGAAGCAGCAAUAAGCGGAAGUUUCUAUGUGCCGCAGAUCAGCCUUUUCCUACGUCACGCGGAGCUGCCCGGGGGCAGAUUUUU